rnacentral:rRNA from 1 species
UACGUAGGGUGCGAGCGUUAAUCGGAAUUACUGGGCGUAAAGCGUGCGCAGGCGGUGAUGUAAGACCGAUGUGAAAUCCCCCGGGCUUAACCUGGGAACUGCAUUGGUGACUGCAUUGCUGGAGUAUGGCAGAGGGGGGGUGGAAUUCCACGUGUAGCAGUGAAAUGCGUAGAGAUGUGGAGGAACACCGAUGGCGAAGGCAGCCCCCCUGGGCCAAUACUGACGCUCAUGCACGAAAGCGUGGGGAGCAAACAGG